CCUGGACCUGAACAGCCUCAAAGGGCCAAAAGAAACUAGACUAAUUACAAUACUGUAAAUUGAUCCAUUGAGAAGGAGAAAAAAUGUUCUUUCUCUGCUUCGCUUUCUGAAGAUAUGAGAAGUGGGGCAGAGGAAAAAAAACACAGGA